GACGAACGCUGGCGGCGUGCCUAAUACAUGCAAGUUGAGCGCUGAAGGUUGGUACUUGUACCGACUGGAUGAGCAGCGAACGGGUGAGUAACGCGUGGGGAAUCUGCCUUUGAGCGGGGGACAACAUUUGGAAACGAAUGCUAAUACCGCAUAAAAACUUUAAACACAAGUUUUAAGUUUGAAAGAUGCAAUUGCAUCACUCAAAGAUGAUCCCGCGUUGUAUUAGCUAGUUGGUGAGGUAAAGGCUCACCAAGGCGAUGAUACAUAGCCGACCUGAGAGGGUGAUCGGCCACAUUGGGACUGAGACACGGCCCAAACUCCUACGGGGGGCAGCAGUAGGGAAUCUUCGGCAAUGGACGAAAGUCUGACCGAGCAACGCCGCGUGAGUGAAGAAGGUUUUCGGAUCGUAAAACUCUGUUGGUAGAGAAGAACGUUGGUGAGAGUGGAAAGCUCAUCAAGUGACGGUAACUACCCAGAAAGGGACGGCUAACUACGUG
rnacentral:rRNA from 1 species